AAAAACAUGGCUCUUUGCUAACAUAAAUAUAAAGAGUCGAGCCUGCCCAGUGAAUUUUUAACGGCCGCGGUACUCUGACCGUGCAAAGGUAGCGUAAUCAUUUGCCUUAUAAUUGAAGGCUAGUAUGAAUGGUUUGACGAGAGCAAUACUGUCUCCUUAUUAUUUUCAAAAACUUAACUUUUAGGUGAAGAGGCCUAAAUUCCAUUGAAGGACAAGAAGACCCUGUCGAGCUUAAAAGACACCAUAGAAGUCCAAUAUAUUUUUAGAUAAAUUUCUAUUAAGCUUUUUAGUUGGGGCGACUGAGGAACAAAAAAAGCUUCUUUCUAAUAAUAAACAAUCAUGUUUAGAUCCGAUAAUAGCGAUUAAAGAAAUUAGUUACCGCAGGGAUAACAGCAUAAUCUCUCUUAAGAGGCCUAAUCGAAAGAGGGGAUUGUGACCUCGAUGUUGGACUAGAAUAUCCUAAAGAUGUAGAAGUCUUUGAGGGUCGGUCUGUUCGACCGUUAAAAUUCUACGUGAUCUGA
rnacentral:rRNA from 2 species